CGGCCAUUCACCAUGCUGAAUAUACCGGUUCUCGUUAGAUCACCGAAGUCAAGCAUCAUUAGGGGGCGGUCAGUACAUGGGUGGGCGACCACCUGGGAACACCGUGUGCCGUU